UAGGGAAUCUUCGGCAAUGGGGGGAACCCUGACCGAGCAACGCCGCGUGAGUGAAGAAGGUUUUCGGAUCGUAAAGCUCUGUUGUUAAGGAAGAACGUGUGUGAGAGUGGAAAGUUCACACAGUGACGGUACUUAACCAGAAAGGGACGGCUAACUACGUGCCAGCAGCCGCGGUAAUACGUAGGUUCCGAGCGUUGUCCGGAUUUAUUGGGCGUAAAGCGAGCGCAGGCGGUUAGAUAAGUCUGAAGUGAAAGGCAGUGGCUCAACCAUUGUAGGCUUUGGAAACUGUUUAACUUGAGUGCAGAAGGGGAGAGUGGAAUUCCAUGUGUAGCGGUGAAAUGCGUAGAUAUAUGGAGGAACACCGGUGGCGAAAGCGGCUCUCUGGUCUGUAACUGACGCUGAGGCUCGAAAGCGUGGGGAGCGAACAGGAUUAGAUACCCUGGUAGUCCACGCCGUAAACGAUGAGUGCUAGGUGUUAGGUCCUUUCCGGGACUUAGUGCCGCAGCUAACGCAUUAAGCACUCCGCCUGGGGAGUACGACCGCAAGGUUG
rnacentral:rRNA from 1 species